rnacentral:rRNA from 1 species
UACGGAGGGUCCAAGCGUUAUCCGGAUUUAUUGGGCUUAAAGGGUGCGUAGGCGGCCUAUUAAGUCAGGGGUGAAAGACGGUGGCUCAACCAUCGCAGUGCCUUUGAUACUGAUGGGCUUGAAUGAGCCUGAGGUAGGCGGAAUGUGACAAGUAGCGGUGAAAUGCAUAGAUAUGUCGCAGAACACCAAUUGCGAAGGCAGCUUACUAAAGUUUAAUUGACGCUGAGGCACGAAAGCGUGGGGAUCAAACAGG